CAUCAUACCGGACAGCAUUAGA
rnacentral:miRNA from 1 species